rnacentral:rRNA from 1 species
UGAACGCUAGCGACAGGCCUAACACAUGCAAGUCGAGGGGCAGCACAAGGAGCAAUCUGAGGUGGCGACCGGCGCACGGGUGAGUAACACGUAUGCAACCUGCCUGUAAGCGGGGAAUAACCCGUUGAAAGACGGACUAAUACCGCAUAAUACUAAAUUACUGCAUGGUAAUUUAUUUAAACAUUUAUGGCUUACAGAUGGGCAUGCGCAUGAUUAGCUAGUUGGAGAGGUAACGGCUCCCCAAGGCAACGAUCACUAGGGGUUCUGAGAGGAAGGUCCCCCACACUGGUACUGAGACACGGACCAGACUCCUACGGGAGGCAGCAGUGAGGAAUAUUGGUCAAUGGACGAGAGUCUGAACCAGCCAAGUCGCGUGCAGGAAGAAUGUCCUUAAUGGAUUGUAAACUGCUUUUGCAGGGGAAUAAAGUGCAUCACGUGUGAUGUUUUGUAUGUACUCUGCGAAUAAGGAUCGGCUAACUCCGUGCCAGCAGCCGC